AAGGACUCAACGACCAAAGGAU
rnacentral:miRNA from 1 species